rnacentral:rRNA from 1 species
CGCGAAGAACCUUACCCAGGCUUGACAUGGAUGGGAAAGCCUCUGGAAACAGGGGCCCCUCUUCGGAGCUCAUUCACAGGUGCUGCAUGGCUGUCGUCAGCUCGUGUCGUGAGAUGUUGGGCUAAGUCCUGCAACGAGCGCAACCCUUGCCCUUAGUUACCAGCGAGUAAAGUCGGGGACUCUAGGGGGACUGCCGGUGCCAAGCCGGAGGAAGGUGGGGACGACGUCAAGUCAUCAUGGUCCUUACGUCUGGGGCUACACACGUGCUACAAUGGCCGGUACAGAGGGCUGCGAAAGAGCAAUCUCGAGCCAAUCCCUAAAGCCGGCCUCAGUUCGGAUUGUCGUCUGCAACUCGACGGCAUGAAGCUGGAAUCGCUAGUAAUCGCGGAUCAGCGACGCCGCGGUGAAUACGUUCCCGGGCCUUGUACACACCG